AUUGAACGCUGGCGGCAGGCCUAACACAUGCAAGUCGAGCGGAUGAAGGGAGCUUGCUCCUGGAUUCAGCGGCGGACGGGUGAGUAAUGCCUAGGAAUCUGCCUGGUAGUGGGUGAUAACGUCCGGAAACGGGCGCUAAUACCGCAUACGUCCUGAGGGAGAAAGUGGGGGAUCUUCGGACCUCACGCUAUCAGAUGAGCCUAGGUCGGAUUAGCUAGUUGGUGGGGUAAAGGCCUACCAAGGCGACGAUCCGUAACUGGUCUGAGAGGAUGAUCAGUCACACUGGAACUGAGACACGGUCCAGACUCCUACGGGAGGCAGCAGUGGGGAAUAUUGGACAAAGGGCGAAAGCCUGAUCCAGCCAUGCCGCGUGUGUGAAGAAGGUCUUCGGAUUGUAAAGCACUUUAAGUUGGGAGGAAGGGCAGUAAGUUAAUACCUUGCUGUUUUGACGUUACCAACAGAAUAAGCACCGGCUAACUUCGUG
rnacentral:rRNA from 1 species